ACCGGGAUGUUCAUAACCCUUUGUUGUCCGACUCUGUUGCCUCCGGGGCGACCCUGCCUUCGGGCGGGGGCUCCGGGUGGACACUUCAAACUCUUGCGUAACUUUGCAGUCUGAGUAAACUUAAUUAAUAAAUUAAAACUUUUAACAACGGAUCUCUUGGUUCUGGCAUCGAUGAAGAACGCAGCGAAAUGCGAUAAGUAAUGUGAAUUGCAGAAUUCAGUGAAUCAUCGAAUCUUUGAACGCACAUUGCGCCCCCUGGUAUUCCGGGGGGCAUGCCUGUUCGAGCGUCAUUUCACCACUCAAGCCUCGCUUGGUAUUGGGCAACGCGGUCCGCCGCGUGCCUCAAAUCGACCGGCUGGGUCUUCUGUCCCCUAAGCGUUGUGGAAACUAUUCGCUAAAGGGUGUUCGGGAGGCUACGCCGUAAAACAACCCCAUUUCUAAGGUUGACCUCGGAUCAGGUAGGGAUACCCGCUGAACUUAAGCAUAU
rnacentral:rRNA from 1 species